rnacentral:rRNA from 1 species
UACAGAGGGUGCGAGCGUUGUCCGGAAUCACUGGGCGUAAAGGGCGCGUAGGCGGUGCGAUAAGCGUGCGGUGAAAGCCCGGGGCUCAACCCCGGGUCGGCCGUGCGGACUGUCGGACUGGAGCACUGUAGAGGCAGGUGGAAUUCCGGGCGUAGCGGUGGAAUGCGUAGAGAUCCGGAAGAACACCGGUGGCGAAGGCGGCCUGCUGGGCAGUUGCUGACGCUGAGGCGCGACAGCGUGGGGAGCAAACAGG